rnacentral:lncRNA from 11 species
AAGGUGAAUCAAGCCACUGGUAGAGAGGUGCCUGAUGUCCUUUCCAUGGCUCACUUUGGCAUUACAAUGAAGGCACACUGCCAACUUUGAAUCAUCUCGAUCGGUUUCAAAGUGCUCCCAAAACAGAGCUCCCUUGAAAGACUGUGGCCACUGGCCGUUGACCCAGAGCCAGCACCAAGCGGCACAACGGCCUGCAGACCUC